rnacentral:rRNA from 1 species
GACGAACGCUGGCGGCGUGCCUAAUACAUGCAAGUCGAGCGAGCUUGCCUAGAUGAAUUUGGUGCUUGCACCAGAUGAAACUAGAUACAAGCGAGCGGCGGACGGGUGAGUAACACGUGGGUAACCUGCCCAAGAGACUGGGAUAACACCUGGAAACAGAUGCUAAUACCGGAUAACAACACUAGACGCGUGUCUAGAGUUUAAAAGAUGGUUCUGCUAUCACUCUUGGAUGGACCUGCGGUGCAUUAGCUAGUUGGUAAGGUAACGGCUUACCAAGGCAAUGAUGCAUAGCCGAGUUGAGAGACUGAUCGGCCACAUUGGGACUGAGACACGGCCCAAACUCCUACGGGAGGCAGCAGUAGGGAAUCUUCCACAAUGGACGCAAGUCUGAUGGAGCAACGCCGCGUGAGUGAAGAAGGGUUUCGGCUCGUAAAGCUCUGUUGGUAGUGAAGAAAGAUAGAGGUAGUAACUGGCCUUUAUUUGACGGUAAUUACUUAGAAAGUCACGGCUAACUACGUGCCAGCAGCCGCGGUAAUACGUAGGUGGCAAGCGUUGUCCGGAUUUAUUGGGCGUAAAGCGAGUGCAGGCGGUUCAAUAAGUCUGAUGUGAAAGCCUUCGGCUCAACCGGAGAAUUGCAUCAGAAACUGUUGAACUUGAGUGCAGAAGAGGAGAGUGGAACUCCAUGUGUAGCGGUGGAAUGCGUAGAUAUAUGGAAGAACACCAGUGGCGAAGGCGGCUCUCUGGUCUGCAACUGACGCUGAGGCUCGAAAGCAUGGGUAGCGAACAGG